AUUCUUUUCCACAAAAAUCACACACUAAAGUGUGUUGAACGGGAGGAAACGCAGAGAAGAGAAGAAAGGGAAGAAAAGAAAAAGAAAGGAAGAAAAAGAAAGAAGAAAGAAGAAAUCUUGUGCCAACUACUUCAAUCUUGUUUAUUUAAUUCUUCAAGAGGAGGGGAUUUGGACGUGGGAACAGCAUACCAGCCCCGUUAGUCCAGCCUAUACUUGAGGCUGUUGACUGAGCGGUGGUGGAGAUUAUUUUGAUAGUUUUGCAGCCAUUGCUAACACCAAUUGUAGGUUCUUUUGUUUGAAAUUGUGUAAUCAUCAAGUAAAAUAUUUACAUCAUAUUGGAGGAAAAUUAUUUUGGUAUUUAUAUACACCAAUGAUCAUGAUGUAAUAUUGUAAUCUAAACUGCUUCCUAUUAUCCUUUUGAGAGGCAGUUUUGACGUAUAUGUUAUGGAUGUUUUUGGUUAAACGAGCAAAUGAUAGUAUUAUGUUGGUAUUUUA